UCAGGUGUAGCUUAGUGAUAGAGCACUUCUCCUAGUAUGUGUGAGGCCCUAGGUUCCAUCCCCAGCACCAAAA
rnacentral:tRNA from 1 species